UACAGAGGGUGCGAGCGUUGUCCGGAAUUAUUGGGCGUAAAGAGCUUGUAGGCGGUCUGUCGCGUCUGCUGUGAAAAUCCGGGGCUCAACCCCGGACUUGCAGUGGGUACGGGCAGACUAGAGUGUGGUAGGGGAGACUGGAAUUCCUGGUGUAGCGGUGAAAUGCGCAGAUAUCAGGAGGAACACCGAUGGCGAAGGCAGGUCUCUGGGCCACUACUGACGCUGAGAAGCGAAAGCAUAGGGAGCGAACAGG
rnacentral:rRNA from 1 species